GAAACGGUGCUCUUUAAUAAAGAGUGCUAAUGACGGUACCGUAAGAAUAAGCACCGGCUAACUACGUGCCAGCAGCCGCGGUAAUACGUAGGGUGCGAGCGUUAAUCGGAAUUACUGGGCGUAAAGCGUGCGCAGGCGGUUAUAUAAGACAGUUGUGAAAUCCCUGGGCUCAACCUAGGAAUUGCAUCUGUGACUGUAUAGCUAGAGUACGGUAGAGGGGGAUGGAAUUCCGCGUGUAGCAGUGAAAUGCGUAGAUAUGCGGAGGAACACCGAUGGCGAAGGCAAUCCCCUGGACCUGUACUGACGCUCAUGCACGAAAGCGUGGGGAGCAAACAGGAUUAGAUACCCUGGUAGUCCACGCCCUAAACGAUGUCAACUGGUUGUUGGGUGCAUUAGUACUCAGUAACGAAGCUAACGCGUGAAGUUGACCGCCUGGGGAGUACGGCCGCAAGGUUGAAACUCAAUG
rnacentral:rRNA from 1 species